rnacentral:SRP_RNA from 1 species
AGCCGGGGCAGUAGCGGCGCCCUGUACCUGAAAUCCGCUAUAGCAGGGGUGAUGCCGCGUCUGAGGGCGAUGUCAUAUGAAGCAGCCCUUUCAUGAAGGCGUUGAUGUCCGGGUCUCAUGCAAUGAUCGUCUUGUGAACCGUGUCAGGUUGGGAACAAAGCAGCACUAAGCUUGUUCGAUCAUGUGCCGUGAGGGUGCCUGGGCGGAGUCGGAUUGUCAGGUAACGUUUGUGUGGUGUCGUUCGAAGCGCG